UACGUAGGGUGCGAGCGUUGUCCGGAAUUAUUGGGCGUAAAGAGCUUGUAGGCGGUUUGUCGCGUCUGCUGUGAAAAUCCGGGGCUCAACCCCGGACUUGCAGUGGGUACGGGCAGACUAGAGUGUGGUAGGGGAGACUGGAAUUCCUGGUGUAGCGGUGAAAUGCGCGGAUAUCAGGAGGAACACCGAUGGCGAAGGCAGGUCUCUGGGCCACUACUGACGCUGAGAAGCGAAAGCAUGGGGAGCGAACAGG
rnacentral:rRNA from 1 species